CUUUGGGAUAACCCUCGGAAACGGGGGCUAAUACCGAAUAGGACUUCUGGCCGCAUGGCUGGUGGUGGAAAGUUUUUCGGCUUGGGAUGGGCUCGCGGCCUAUCAGCUUGUUGGUGGGGUGAUGGCCUACCAAGGCGACGACGGGUAGCCGGCCUGAGAGGGCGACCGGCCACACUGGGACUGAGACACGGCCCAGACUCCUACGGGAGGCAGCAGUGGGGAAUAUUGCACAAUGGGCGGAAGCCUGAUGCAGCGACGCCGCGUGAGGGAUGACGGCCUUCGGGUUGUAAACCUCUUUCAGCAGGGACGAAGCGAGAGUGACGGUACCUGCAGAAGAAGCAUCGGCCAACUACGUGCCAGCAGCCGCGGUAAGACGCAGGGUGCGAGCGUUGUCCGGAUUUAUUGGGCGUAAAGAGCUCGUAGGCGGCUUGUCGCGUCGACCGUGAAAACUUGGGGCUCAACCCCAAGCCUGCGGUCGAUACGGGCAGGCUAGAGUUCGGUAGGGGAGACUGGAAUUCCUGGUGUAGCGGUGAAAUGCGCAGAUAUCAGGAGGAACACCGGUGGCGAAGGCGGGUCUCUGGGCCGAUACUGACGCUGAGGAGCGAAAGCGUGGGGAGCGAACAGGAUUAGAUACCCUGGUAGUCCACGCUGUAAACGUUGGGCGC
rnacentral:rRNA from 1 species